UCACUUCUUCUAAAAAAACAUAAAAAAGCUCUCAACCUCCUCCUUUCCUCCCGAUUUCGGGUCAGGGAUCCGGCCAUUAGCCACCGUGGCGGCCCCUGCCGCCAGUGUCGGCGCCGUCGUCCACGGUGGCUGAAGAUAAAAAAUGGACAUUUUUGGGCUUUUUUUACUUCUAAACCUUGAAAAAAUACCAUCUUUCAUCGGAGAUGGCAACCUCGACCUAGCCCUAUGACAGUGCGAACUCAAAAGGGUACGGAGGCCAUAGGCCAGCUGUGUAUAGAGAUUGAUGUGGAGGAGGCAAUAACGCACCUAGGGUUUCUGUUUCUGCUGUUUGGCUGAAAAUUGUUUAGGUCUUGGGCUUGUUGGGCCACUAGGGUUUUUAUUUUUGGGCCGUAUGUAAAUGGACUUUGGACUGUUUAAUUUA